rnacentral:rRNA from 1 species
ACGGGUGAGUAAUACAUCGGAACGUGCCCGAUCGUGGGGGAUAACGGAGCGAAAGCUUUGCUAAUACCGCAUACGAUCUACGGAUGAAAGCAGGGGACCGCAAGGCCUUGCGCGGACGGAGCGGCCGAUGGCAGAUUAGGUAGUUGGUGGGAUAAAAGCUUACCAAGCCGACGAUCUGUAGCUGGUCUGAGAGGACGACCAGCCACACUGGGACUGAGACACGGCCCAGACUCCUACGGGAGGCAGCAGUGGGGAAUUUUGGACAAUGGGCGAAAGCCUGAUCCAGCCAUGCCGCGUGCAGGAUGAAGGCCUUCGGGUUGUAAACUGCUUUUGUACGGAACGAAAAGCCUCUUUCUAAUAAAGAGAGGUCAUGACGGUACCGUAAGAAUAAGCACCGGCUAACCACGUGCCAGCAGCCGCGGUAAUACGUAGGGUGCGAGCGUUAAUCGGAAUUACUGGGCGUAAAGCGUGCGCAGGCGGUGAUGUAAGACAGAUGUGAAAUCCCCGGGCUCAACCUGGGAACUGCAUUUGUGACUGCAUCGCUGGAGUGCGGCAGAGGGGGAUGGAAUUCCGCGUGUAGCCGUGAA